rnacentral:rRNA from 1 species
ACCACUCUCAGAGUGAACAGCUAAUGAAUCAUAGUAAUUUUUUAAAAUUCAUGAUGUCGUAAGGGAAAAUAAUGAUAAUACCUUACUAUGAGUGUCGUCCAAAUCUGGUGCCAGAAGACUCGGUAAGACCAGAGACGCAAACGUUAAUCAUCAUAAACAGGCGUAAAGGGUUUGUAGGCAGCUUUCACCAAACUAUGAUUACAAAAUAAAGUAGUUUAAUUGAAAGCUAGAAUCAAAAAGAGGUUAUAGUGUAUAACGCCUAGAGGAGGGCUGAUAUCCAUAGAUCCUAGGCAGAAUACUCAGGGCGAAGGCCACUCUCCACUACUGAUUGACGCUGAGAAACGAAGGUUAGGGUAGGAAAUAGGAUUAGAUACCCCGGUACUCCUUUCUGUAAACGAUGAAUGGUAGUCAUUAGUUUUAUAACUAGAGACGAAGUUAACACAAUAACCAUUCCGCCUUGUGAGUACUACUGCAAAGUAGAAAACAAAAAAAUUAGUCGGUCUCGAAGCAAACGGAGUGAAGCAUGUUAUUUAAUUCGUAAUU